UACGAAGGGAGCUAGCGUUGUUCGGAAUCACUGGGCGUAAAGCGCACGUAGGCGGGUCCUUAAGUCAGGGGUGAAAUCCCGGAGCUCAACUCCGGAACUGCCUUUGAUACUGGGGAUCUUGAGUCCGGAAGAGGUGAGUGGAACUCCGAGUGUAGAGGUGAAAUUCGUAGAUAUUCGGAAGAACACCAGUGGCGAAGGCGGCUCACUGGUCCGGUACUGACGCUGAGGUGCGAAAGCGUGGGGAGCAAACAGG
rnacentral:rRNA from 1 species